AUCACUACAGUGGCCCAAUGGACAGACUGAACCUUCAGAACACCUUCUAGCCUUUCUAACUCAUUUCUGAGCUGUAAUUACCCAUCUGCUAUUUUAAGCACUAUGGUGUUUGAUUUUGAAAAGGGAAAUGAAAAAAGAGUUAGCAGGGCCUUAGAGUUGCAUGUACCAGUACUAUGAAACACAGUGACAUUGAGCUUUGGAAAGAGAAGCUAACAAAGUCAGAAGGCAGAGUAAAAAAAAAGGAAUGAUGAGGUUUAUGUGAUAAAAGACAGAAACAGUAGGUGGGAAGCCUUGGAGCAGUUGAGGUAUUAAAGGCAGAUCCUCUCCGACAACUACAGGGCACUCUGCUUUCCAGGCCUGUUUCUUCCUGCCCUCAAGCCCGAGUCUCUGGAGAGAGAAGAUGCCAGUAGAAAAUGUCUCUUGGAUUUCUGUGACAGCCACUUGACAGAUCCUUUCACUGUGAACUUUGGCAUGCUCAGCUCGGACUGAAGACAGUGCUAGGGUGAAGAUUCUGGGUAGCUUAUUGGAACAGGAGGAACAGGAGAGAACUAAAUAAAACAGGUUUUCCUACACUA